GUGGGCGCGUUUCCUUUGUCUACCAGCUCCUUUCGGGCAGGAUCGCCGCGCCGAAUCGGGGAGAGCCGCUCGGGGCUCUGCCGCUGCUGCCGGCGCCCGCCCUUGGCAGGGGAGGCUGGCGCUCGGCACCAACAUUGUGUGCGGAUCCGGCUAUUUCCUUUUCGUGUGAUUGAGCUUCGAGCUCCCGCUGGGACAUCAAAGCCAAACGCUCUUCCUUUCUGGCGGGCAGCGGCGCUGCCUGCGUAAGACGGGGAGAAGCGUGUGCGGUCGGUCUGCGAUCCUCGGAAACAGGACGACAGAAAGGAGCGCGGGGCAUUCCCUGCCAGCAUCCUGCCUUGGCAGCGGGGAGGAUAUGGAGAAAUUUGCGUGGAAAGGAGCCGCACAUGGCUCAGGUUUUAUCCUCUUAUCACUGUUAAAGGCUUUUUGUUCACGACACUGUUCUGUGUUAACCUUUUCCCCGGGACACCUUUCGCCGCAGCCGAGCUUUUUGAAUCCUCCCCGACUCCUCUGAUUGCAGGAGCAGGCAGGGCCCAUCCUUCUGGCAGGAGGCUGAAGGACAUUACCCCUCGGGGAGCUCUGGAGCUAAGGCAAGCCGGCUUUAAUGGCAGGAAGGGGAGGGGAGGACAAAGGUGGGGGCUGUGAGACAGGUGCCUGGCAGGAGGGGGGCCGCGCGCAGCCCGCAGCGAGCCACGGGCGGAUGCAAAGGGCAGCGUCUUGGCUCCGGGCGAGCCCGUGACAAAAUUCCUGUUGACUUUGGCAAGGCCAGGAUGUCACGGAGAGGUGACGGAGCUGUCCCGGUGUCAAGGGCAGAGCCAGGAGCCGAGUGCCCGGCCUGGGGUGCCCCUCACACCGCCGGCUAUGGAGACCCCUCCCCAAGCAAAUCCCCAUUUUUUUCAGGCAGGUUGUACCAAACUGGCUCCUCUUCCUGAGGUUUGUGUCGAGGGCCACACCAGCACGGGUGCUAACUGUUCACAUUAAGUAAUGAUAUGAAUUUUUUGAAGCGUGCAGGAGUUUGGCGCGUGGGCUGGAGCCCGGCUCUGCUUGGGGCUGCACAAGCUCAGAAGAAAAAUCCCACCCCGAAGAAAAUCGGAACAUCCUGGGCUUGUUUCUGGACCUGUCACUGUGUGCCUCUGUUCAUCCAUCGGCCUGGAAGGAGCCCAGAGGUCACCUCCUCACCCCGGGGGGAUCGAUCUUGGCAUCCAGAUGGGUCUCAGAGCCCCCCAGAGGUGAAGAGGCCUCCUGGCUUGGUCCCCAUGUGGCAGCUCAGAAGGGCCAGCCAGGUCCCCGCACAGGACCCCGGCAUCACGCACGUGCUGCAAGCACAGCCCACCAGCCCUGCAGUUGUCUGAAGGAUGAACAUUUUCGCUCCGGCUCGUUCCAUAAUAAACCUCUCACUCGAGCUGA